rnacentral:lncRNA from 1 species
UAUGUUUAUCACAGCUGGUUGUAAACAGUAGAAUCUGAUGAAACCUGAUGAAGGACAGCGAACUUUGAAGGACUCCAGGAAUCAGGUACCCACAGGACUGAAAUGAAGACCCUUUGCUAACCAAAGAGCAUUUAUACUGACAAAUCCUGGAGUGGGUUGCCAUUUCCUUCUCCAGGGCAUCUUCCUGACCCAGGGAUUGAAUCCAGGUCUUCCGCAUUGCAGGCGGACACUUUACCAUUUGAGCCAUUGGGUAAGCCCUGAGUAUGUAUAUACAUCAUUAAAUUACACAUAAAUGGGAACUUGAAGGGUAACUUCAGAUUUUUAAAUUUAUUCUUGAGUCAAUCCUGUGAAGUAUGUACUAAAAUUUCCAUUUUACAGAGGAGAAAACUGAGGCUCAAGGAUUAAAAGAGCCCAGGGUCAGUGAUCUUAGAUUAUACAUCUUCUAAAUAUCAAAAUAGCAUUCGAUCCCAAGACAACUUGACUCCAGAGUCAAUGUUCUUAAUGACUACUCUGCACCAUGGAAACAGUUCAUUCUCCAAUGUUACUGUCCAUUUCCACUAACUGUUAAAUCUCUUAUAUACCUCCUCUUUUCAGUCUCAUGUAUCUUGACCUAGGAGACAAGCCAGCGGGUAUCAGAGGAGUAUUGAAAGUAGGAGAAAAGUUCUUCUGGAAGAACCCAAUAAUUUGAGCUUGAGAUCAAAGAAAAACUAUUGAUUUUUUUUCCUGAGUACUUGACAGAUUUGUCAAGUAAUCUUGAAUCUCNNNNNNNNNNNNNNNNNNNNCAUUAAUUAAUCCAUGGGCAAUGUACCUAGCACUGUGCUGGGGAAAUAAAUCACCCUAGAAUUAAUUCUCAAUAAGGAUACAGGGGAAAGAGCCCAAGACUAUGAGAUAGGAGAUGGACUUGGGAGCCCUGGCUCUGCCAUGAACCUGGCCUUGGCCUUAGACAGGUCUCUUCACCUUUCCUCACCUUCUUUCCACCAUUGGAAAUAGCCCCAGGGAUGGUAAAGGUCCUUACCAUUUCCUAUAUUUUUACACUUGCUUUACAGGAUUAAUUGAAGGAAAAAUAAAAGAGCAGUUAGUAUUGGACAGAAAACUGUGGUAAUAAAACACACUGAAUUGCACUACUGGUUUAGCAAUCACUUGGCGUCUUCUGAAACUGCCUCCUAAAUAUGCAAGAAGAGUGUUUAUCAUUCCAGCUCCUAUGGAACCUGACAUUUCAGAGAGAAUAGGCUUUACAAUGUCGCAUUUUCUCAAAAAUUGCUGCAUUUGAAAUCUUGCAGGAUAUUUAAAACUUGUUUUUAGAGCACCAGAGGCACUUUUCAGCUGAGUUACUCAGUGUUUUAUCCCUCCAUCCUCUUCAUCUUGCCUGAAGAGUC